GAUGAACGCUGGCGGCGUGCCUAAUACAUGCAAGUCGAGCGAACAGACGAGGAGCUUGCUCCUCUGACGUUAGCGGCGGACGGGUGAGUAACACGUGGAUAACCUACCUAUAAGACUGGGAUAACUUCGGGAAACCGGAGCUAAUACCGGAUAACAUGUUGAACCGCAUGGUUCAACAGUGAAAGUCGGUCUUGCUGUCACUUAUAGAUGGAUCCGCGCCGCAUUAGCUAGUUGGUAAGGUAACGGCUUACCAAGGCAACGAUGCGUAGCCGACCUGAGAGGGUGAUCGGCCACACUGGAACUGAGACACGGUCCAGACUCCUACGGGAGGCAGCAGUAGGGAAUCUUCCGCAAUGGGCGAAAGCCUGACGGAGCAACGCCGCGUGAGUGAAGAAGGUCUUCGGAUCGUAAAACUCUGUUAGUAGGGAAGAACAAAUGUGUAAGUAACUAUGCACGUCUUGACGGUACCUAAUCAGAAAGCCACGGCUAACUACGUG
rnacentral:rRNA from 1 species